rnacentral:rRNA from 1 species
AUGUUCCGUGGCAGCCUGCAUUGGCACCUAAAGCAACAUGGGACUGAAAGCAACAUGAUAGUGGUAUUUGACACCACAACUGAGUCGUUCAAGCAAAUGCAUGCUCCAGUGGUUUUUCGGCAUGCUAAACUGUUUGAGAUGGAUGGCGUGCUCGGCGUGUCCAGUCGUAAUGAUGUUGGUAGUAUCAUCAAUAUCUGGGAGUUGCAGGACUAUGAAAGCCAAGUCUGGACCUUCAAGUGCAAGAUUGAAUUACCGGUUAAUGAGAUCAAGGUGCUAUGUCGACAAAUCGACAAUUAUUGGUAUGCGGUGGUCAUGCCUGGGGAUGGUGAGUUGCUCGUGCUAGUCCAGUACGCCGAGUGGCUACUUCAUCUUGACAUGGAUGGCAAGUUGGUUGCUAGCUUUCAUCAACGGGAUGUCACUGCUACUCAAUUGCAGCUCAAACAAACUCUUGUCCCACAUACUUUCUUUCCAGAUGGUUAUGCUGUGAAUGCAGUGCCUCAGAUCUGA